rnacentral:rRNA from 1 species
GACGAACGCUGGCGGCGUGCUUAACACAUGCAAGUCGAACGAUGAACCCGGAGCUUGCUCCGGUGGAUUAGUGGCGAACGGGUGAGUAACACGUGAGUAACCUGCCCUUGACUCUGGGAUAACUGCGGGAAACUGUAGCUAAUACCGGAUACGACCCUCGGCGGCAUCGCCAGGGGGUGGAAAGAAUUUCGGUCAAGGAUGGACUCGCGGCCUAUCAGCUAGUUGGUGAGGUAACGGCUCACCAAGGCGACGACGGGUAGCCGGCCUGAGAGGGUGACCGGCCACACUGGGACUGAGACACGGCCCAGACUCCUACGGGAGGCAGCAGUGAGGAAUUUUCCGCAAUGGGCGAAAGCCUGACGGAGCGACGCCGCGUGAAGGAUGAAGCUUUUCGGAGCGUAAACUUCUUUUAUCGCAGAAGAUUAUGACUGUAUGCGAUGAAUAAGCACCGGCUAACUACGUGCCAGCCGCCGCAGUAA